rnacentral:rRNA from 2 species
AAAUAUAUGUUAAGUGGAAAAGGAUGUGGCGUUGCACAGACAACUAGGAUGUUGGCUUAGAAGCAGCCAUCAUUUAAAGAGUGCGUAAUAGCUCACUAGUCAAGUGACGCUGCGCCGAAAAUGUACCGGGGCUAAACAUAUUACCGAAACUGUGGAUUAAAAUUUAUUUUAAUGGUAGGAGAGCGUUCUAAGUGCGGCGAAGCAUGAUCGUAAGGACAUGUGGAGCGCUUAGAAGUGAGAAUGCCGGUGUGAGUAGCGAAAGACGGGUGAGAAUCCCGUCCACCGAACGACUAAGGUUUCCAGAGGUAGGCUCGUCCGCUCUGGGUAAGUCGGGACCUAAGCCGAGGCGAUAAGCGUAGGCGAUGGACAACAGGUAGAAAUUCCUGUACCAGUAAGAUUGCAUUUGAGUGAUGGAGUGACGCAGAAGGAAAAGAUGAGCGCGCGAAAGGAAGAGCGCGUCCAAGCCAUAAGGCUGCAUGUUAGGCAAAUCCGGCAUGCAUAAGGCUAAGUGGUGAUGGGGAGCCGAAAAUAGUAGGCGAAGCAUACGGACUCACACUGCCAAGAAAAGCUUCUAGCAAGUAAUCAUACUGCCCGUACCGUAAACCGACACAGGUAGUUGGGAAGAGAAUUCUAAGGUGAGCGAGCGAACUCUCGUUAAGGAACUCGGCAAAAUGACCCCGUAACUUCGGGAGAAGGGGUGCUUAUAGAAAUAUAAGCCGCAGUGAAUAGGCCCAAGCGACUGUUUACCAAAAACACAGGUCUCUGCCAAACCGAAAGGUGAAGUAUAGGGGCUGACGCCUGCCCGGUGCUGGAAGGUUAAGAGGAGUGCUUAGCGUAAGCGAAGGUACGAAUUGAAGCCCCAGUAAACGGCGGCCGUAACUAUAACGGUCCUAAGGUAGCGAAAUUCCUUGUCAGGUAAGUUCUGACCCGCACGAAAGGCGUAACGAUUUGGGCACUGUCUCAACGAGAGGCUCGGUGAAAUCAUAGUACCUGUGAAGAUGCAGGUUACCCGCGACAGGACGGAAAGACCCCGUGGAGCUUUACUGUAAUUUGAUAUUGAAUCUUGACUCCACCUGUACAGGAUAGGUGGGAGCCGAAGAAUCAUGGACGUCAGUCUAUGAGGAGGCACUGGUGGGAUACCACCCUGGUGUGGUUGAGAUUCUAACCCGCAGCCGUGAUCCGGCUGGGAGACAGUGUCAGAUGGACAGUUUGACUGGGGCGGUCGCCUCCUAAAGAGUAACGGAGGCGCUCAAAGGUAUCCUCAGAAUGGUUGGAAAUCAUUCAAAGAGUGUAAAGGCAUAAGGAUGCUUGACUGCGAGACCUACAAGUCGAGCAGGGUCGAAAGACGGACUUAGUGAUCCGGUGGUUCCGCAUGGAAGGGCCAUCGCUCAACGGAUAAAAGCUACCCCGGGGAUAACAGGCUUAUCUCCCCCAAGAGUUCACAUCGACGGGGAGGUUUGGCACCUCGAUGUCGGCUCAUCGCAUCCUGGGGCUGUAGUCGGUCCCAAGGGUUGGGCUGUUCGCCCAUUAAAGCGGUACGCGAGCUGGGUUCAGAACGUCGUGAGACAGUUCGGUCCCUAUCCGUCGUGGGCGUAGGAAAUUUGAGAGGCGCUGUCCUUAGUACGAGAGGACCGGGAUGGACAUACCACUGGUGUACCAGUUGUCGUGCCAACGGCAUAGCUGGGUAGCUACGUAUGGACGGGAUAAAUGCUGAAAGCAUCUAAGCAUGAAGCCCCCCUCAAGAUGAGAUUUCCCCAAUAGAUGCCUCAGAGACUAUGAGGUUGAUAGGUUCGGCGUGUAAGUGUGGCAACACAUUCAGCGGACGAAUACUAAUCCAUCGAAGACUUAUUCAA